rnacentral:rRNA from 1 species
CGGGUCGCAGCACCAGUGAGGAAUAUUGCACAAUGGGGGGAACCUUGAUGCAGCAACGCCGCGUGGAGGAUGACGCAUUUCGGUGUGUAAACUCCUUUUAUAUGUCAAGAAAAUGACGGUAGCAUAUGAAUAAGCACCGGCUAACUCCGUGCCAGCAGCCGCGGUAAUACGGAGGGUGCAAGCGUUACUCGGAAUCACUGGGCGUAAAGGACGCGUAGGCGGGUUGGAAAGUCAGGUGUGAAAUCCUACAGCUUAACUGUAGAGCUGCACUUGAAACUUCUAAUCUAGAGUAUGGGAGGGGGAGAUGGAAUUAGUGGUGUAGGGGUAAAAUCCGUAGAUAUCACUAGGAAUACCUAAAGCGAAGGCGAUCUCCUGGAACAUUACUGACGCUAAGGCGUGAAAGCGUGGGGAGCAAACAGGAUUAGAUACCCUCGUAGUC